rnacentral:rRNA from 1 species
AUUGAACGCUGGCGGCAUGCCUUACACAUGCCAGUCGAACGGCAGCAUGAUCUAGCUUGCUAGAUUGAUGGCGAGUGGCGACCGGGUGAGUAAUACAUCGGAACGUGCCCUGUAGUGGGGGAUAACUAGUCGAAAGAUUAGCUAAUACCGCAUACGACCUGAGGGUGAAAGUGGGGGACCGCAAGGCCUCAUGCUAUAGGAGCGGCCGAUGUCUGAUUAGCUAGUUGGUGAGGUAAAGGCUCACCAAGGCGACGAUCAGUAGCUGGUCUGAGAGGAUGAUCAGCCACACUGGGACUGAGACACGGCCCAGACUCCUACGGGAGGCAGCAGUGGGGAAUUUUGGACAAUGGGCGAAAGCCUGAUCCAGCAAUGCCGCGUGUGUGAAGAAGGCCUUCGGGUUGUAAAGCACUUUUGUCCGGAAAGAAAUGGCUCUGGUUAAUACCUGGGGUCGAUGACGGUACCGGAAGAAUAAGGACCGGCUAACUACGUG